AGGAUGAUUGGCCCAAUGGGUUAGAGAGGAGCGGCUGAGAGCUGGCGUCUUGAUUCCUAGAAGACUCAGUUUGCUCAGCUGCCAAGUGGGAGUGAGAGCUGCGCUUCUGCACCCGCGUUGCUUCAGGGACGCAGCGGUGGGAAAAGCACCAGCACCAGGGGUUCGCGCUUUAAUCCAUUGGAACUUCUUCCUUGUGGACAGUGUGAGCAGAAAGAGUCUCUUUCUUCUUUCCUGGCAUCAUCUGCCCCUAAGUUGCCCUGCUCACCCCAAGUUAAGUCUGAGAUCCUCAGCACGCAUCCUUUGAAGUUACUGUUGUUUCAGAAGAGGAUCAGGAGCGCUCAUCUGUCCACCAGAGGGAGGGCCUGUGUUUCCUGCCUCACUGUGUCACCGCUGCCAACAGACCGGCCAAGAGCAAGCAGCAUAAAAGAAGGAAUUGAUAGAGCUCACUGCACUAAAAUGUAAACCUUCUAAAUGACAACAGACACCAUAAACAAGCUAAAAACAAGCAAUAGCCCGGGAGAAAAUAUUUGCAAUUUAUAUAACAAAUAAGAGAUUAGCAUCCAGAAUAUAUAAAGAAUUCUAACUAAUCAAUAAGAAAAAGACAAAUGGCCCAAUAGAGCACUCUGCAAAUGAUAAAAAAAACAAACAAACAAACCAACCCCGUCGAUUUAUGGAAAAGGAAAUUCAAAUGGCCAAUAAACUUGAAAAAUGUUCAGUUUCACCAGUAAUCAAGGAAAUAAAACAUUAAACUGCCACAAACUAUAUUUCACUCAUUGGGUUGGCCAAAAAAAUGAAGUUUGAUAUUAAAUGUUAGUGAGGGUGUGUGGAAAUAGGGGCUCUUGACUGCUGCUCAUGACAAUACAAAUUGGCACAACCACUUUGAAGGCCAAUGAGUCUACGUGCCAGUAUCUCCCCGAGAGAACAUGUUUGCACAUGUGCACACGGGGGUCUGUGUAAGGAUGUUUAGUGCUGUACGGUUUGAAAGGGAAGAAAUCGGAGAAAACCUAAAUGUCCAUCAACAGAGGAUUAGCCAAAUAAACCAUAGCAUGGCUGUGCUAUGAAGUCCUAUGCAAUUAUUUAUAAGAAUGAGAUAAAUAUAGGACAUAACAGAAAGGGAUAUUUAGGUAAAUAAAACAAGUGGCAAAAAGUUCAUAAAGUAGGACACUUUUUAAUGUAGAGAUAAAGAACCAAGCAUACAUGACAUUUUUUAAGAUAAAUAUAAAUGCGUAAAGUAUCUGCAAGGAUGAUUCAAAGGGGACUAAGUAGCAGCUGCAGGAAAGGACCAUGUGUGAUGGUAGGAAGGUGGUAGGUAAGUGGGAAGGCGUCAGAGGGGACUUGAUCUUUAUUGUUAAUAUUGCUGAGUUUUUUACAGAAGAGGAAAAGAAGGUAC